UACGUAGGGGGCAAGCGUUGUCCGGAAUUAUUGGGCGUAAAGAGCUCGUAGGCGGCUUGGCAAGUCGGGUGUGAAACCUCCAGCUCAACCUGGAGACGCCACUCGAUACUGCCAUGGCUAGAGUCCGGUAGGGGACCACGGAAUUCCUGGUGUAGCGGUGGAAAUGACGCAGAUAUCAGGAGGAACACCGGUGGCGAAGGCGGUGGUCUGGGCCGGCACUGACGCUGAGACGCGAAAGCGUGGGGAGCAAACAGG
rnacentral:rRNA from 1 species